GACGAACGCUGGCGGCGUGCCUAAUACAUGCAAGUUGAGCGCUGAAGGUUGGUACUUGUACCAACUGGAUGAGCAGCGAACGGGUGAGUAACGCGUGGGGAAUCUGCCUUUGAGCGGGGGACAACAUUUGGAAACGAAUGCUAAUACCGCAUAAAAACUUUAAACACAAGUUUUAAGUUUGAAAGAUGCAAUUGCAUCACUCAAAGAUGAUCCCGCGUUGUAUUAGCUAGUUGGUGAGGUAAAGGCUCACCAAGGCGAUGAUACAUAGCCGACCUGAGAGGGUGAUCGGACAAAUUGGGAAUGAGACACGGCCCAAACUCCUACGGGAGGCAGCAGUAGGGAAUCUUCGGCAAUGGACGAAAGUCUGACCGAGCAACGCCGCGUGAGUGAAGAAGGUUGUCGGAUCGUAAAACUCUGUUGGUAGAGAAGAACGUUGGUGAGAGUGGAAAGCUCAUCAAGUGACGGUAACUACCCAGAAAGGGACGGCUAACUACGUG
rnacentral:rRNA from 1 species